ACAGGACCCACUUGCAGGGAUUAGCGCGGAGCCCCAGGAUAACAAUAUAAUGUUGUGGAAUGCUAUUAUAUUGGGGUUUUUGUCAAUUGUUAUUUACGAAGGUUGUGACUGUUCGUGCUCGCACCAAAAUAAAGUUUGUAGAAGGUUGCUAACCAACGAUAAAAGGUAGCUUGCAAUUUUUAUUUUAAUGAAUCUUAUUAAAUGCAUUUGAGUACCACAAAAAUUUACUCAAUUAUUUAUUAGAAAAAUCACUAUCUUCACUAAAACUGUUAUUCAUUUACAUUAACAACUCUUUUUUUUUUCUUUCCAAUUUGUAACAGAGAAGCAUGUCUAUCAUGAAAAAUAAAAGACGGCAGUUCUGAAGUGACGACCAAGAUAGUUUAGAAGUGUAAUAUAGUUGUAAACAUGAAUGUAAACUAUGGAUGAAAAAUGUUAAUACAAUUCUGAUUCUGGACGACUCAUGCGAAUUUUAUCUGAAUUUGAAUAAUUUUUUAUCUGGGUGUACAAUUACAUUUGUGAUUUGUUGUUUAUGUGGUGAAAAAAUAAGAUGGCUUUAUACUUUAUACUUUUUAUGAGACUUAAUUUUGAGUUUUGAAUUUGAGUUCUCAUGCAA